GCUUCCCAGGGUAAGUCUGAUUUUGCUUUCUCCUAUGGAUAAGUAGCAGAGAAGGGUUGGGCAGUCUCCUUUUGCAUGGGUUGUGUAAGUCGCCAAUUUCUUUAGUGAGAAGGGUGUUCAUUGGACCCCAGCAUAUUCUGGGGUUCUUGCUUCCUGGCUUCAUCUCCUGUUGAUUUUUAGAGUCUGGUGCUUGAGUGACUCUCUGAGGUUCCAUGGAAACAUGGAGCUGGAAUGUGGAGACAGAAUGGUAGGGUUGAACUGCAGCGUCUUAUGUUUCUUAUGAGGCAGUUUCUUGUUAGUGCGGCACACUGCUUGAGUUUUUACUUCUUUCUUUCUUUCUUUCUUUCUUUCUUUCUUUCUUUCUUUUUUUUUUAUGAGCUUAGCCAUGGUUUGGUUUGCUGAGUGACCACUGGUGCUUUAUGACAUAGAGCAAUGGUUCCAGCUUUUCUUUCAUACUGGAAAAAAUUUCACACGUCUGUCAAUGUGAAGCUAGUUUGCUCUUUUCUUUUUCGAACUUAUAAUAAUUUUAAACAUGACCUUAAGUCCCUUGGUUCUGACUUCAGAGGACAUUGGCUGUUGGGGUCAGACAAAGUGAGGGUUGGCCACGCUGUUACAAAUGAGCUUUGUAGUAAUUACUGCUGAGAUCAUAAAACUCGGCUUUCCCACUGCAUGUCAAUGCUCCUUUUCAUUAUAUAGUGCUUGGAACAAAAUCAUGUGAUUUUUUUUUUAAAAGCUUAAACAUAACCAUGUUUGAAAGGCAGUUUUCAUUUUGUGGCUUUUUUUUUCUUCCCCCUUUCCGGUGUCUAGUACAGCCAAGGAUUUUAUCUUCUUGUAUCUUUUUUGGCACUCUAGUGAGUAAUCCAUUCUGAGUUACUUUCUCACUAGAAGAGCUGGUCACCUUCUUAGCCAUGGUGGAUGUUCCCCCUCCCCACUUCCUCUCCAUCGAUGGACCCAAGACAUGACUGUGCCCAAUGGUUUACCCCGAUGGCAAUGGCAUCUCAAUGGAGGCUCAGCAGGGAGAUCAGGCUUGAUACCGUUGGGUGAUAUAGCCAGUGGCUCAAGAGGGAACUUAAGUCUGUAAAUAUGGAACGGUUUCUCCCGAGAUUAACAGGUUAAAAAGUGUGUGAGGACUUCAGUUGAUAUUUUAACAAAUGAAGACAUUUCCACGAGGACCUUUACAGAGCACAACACUGAACCUCUAGAGCUUAGGGUCUCACAUGAAAAUAUUGGCAUCCUUGGGCCCUAUGACCUUGUGCCAACGAGUGCAGUGGGAAGUUGUGUGGCUUGACUCUCUGGAGUAUCAGUAGUUCUUAGGUGUUCACAGUGACACAGAUGUAUCUAAUUCAGCUGGUCAGUAGUUGAAAAGCUUUCUCAGGCUGAUAUAGAGGCACAGAAUGGGGCAGAGCAUGGAAUGGAAUCUGUAAAGAGAUGUUUACUAUGCUCAGGGUGACUUUAGAUCACCCUGUGACAGGGCCAUUACCUGUCCUUGAGAAGAUGGUCCUGUCUUCCCUGUCCUUAAGUAUAAGAUGGGCUUUGGUACAAUCUUCUCAAAUACAGCCGCUCUAGGAAAGUUGUUGUAGGCACAAGGGGGAGUCCUGUAAUACCUGCAAGAGUUUCUGGCCAGGUUCAGCUAAACAGUACAUCCAUCCUAUCAUACACGGAGAUGACUUGAAAGGACAGGAAUCUUGACAGAAGGCCAUAUGCACAUGUAGAUACUGUUGGGAUAAUGAGACGUUGUCUUCCCUGAGAGAAGUCAUAGCAUCAAAUAUGGAGGCAACACUUGAAGGCACUGGAUGUAACCUUGUAAUUUCCUAGAGUUCUUCCUUCACCAUUCUUAGACCACAACAGUGACUGAGCAGCAUAUUCUUUAAAAGGAGAGAAAUCAAGUACAAUUUCAGAGCUGACAAAUAUGGGUUGCUACUGUAUUUAAUUUUUAUUUUUGGGACAGGCUCUCCUGUAGCCCAAGAUAGGUUGAAAUCUGCUAUAUAAAUGGGGGUGGUCUUGAACCUCUGCCUACUGAUUCUCCUACCUCUGCCUCUUGAAUGCUGAAAUUGCAGCCUUGCACUGCCACAUAGAGUCUAUGGAUCCUGGAAAUCAAACUUAGGGCUUUGUGCAUGCAGGUCCAGCACUCUGCCAACUGUGCUAAAUCUCCAACCCGUCCAGCCUUUUUUGACGUCAUCUCGCAGUCUUUAUUCCUAUUUAAUGCUUAGUGUCUCAUCUAAAAGCAAUAUGGGAGGAACCCCACACAGCUUUUUAUGCUGAGCUGUGUGUGUCAUCUAUAGAACAUUUAAGUUAUUCAGAAGAAGGAUAAUUAGGCUUAAAUAUAACAUUCCCAUAUUGCAUGUAAUAUAUACAAAUACAUAUAUAUCAAUGUUGGUGUAUAUGUCCAUAGCUGUUCAUCUUUCCACACAAUUUACUACAGCCUUUAGUCACACACACACACACACACACACACACACUCAAAAUAACCAUGCUGAAAGAUGAGAAAAGGAAGGAAAAUAGAGGUUAUUCAUCCUGAUGUUUUUAACGUAUGUAUCUCCUACUUAGAAAUAUUCAGAUGCAGCUUUGGUUUAUGUAGUUAAUUUUGGUGGUACAAUGUUUUAGAUGAUGGCCAACAGAAGGCUAGGAGGCAAUUGUUGAAGCUGUAAUUUGCAGAAGUUUAACAAUACAAGUCCAUUUUCUUUUCUGAAUGUGCUAUUUAUAUAAUUUGUAUUUUUAACAAAUCUUAGAACUAGAAUGAAAAUAGUAAUUAAUCUUAAGAGU
rnacentral:lncRNA from 1 species